UACGUAUGGUGCAAGCGUUAUCCGGAUUUACUGGGCGUAAAGGGAGCGCAGGCGGUGCGCCAAGUCUGAUGUGAAACCCCGGGGCUCAACCCCGGGCAUGCAUUGGAAACUGGCGGGCUGGAGUGCCGGAGAGGUAAGCGGAAUUCCUAGUGUAGCGGUGAAAUGCGUAGAUAUUAGGAGGAACACCAGUGGCGAAGGCGGCUUACUGGACGGCAACUGACGCUGAGGCUCGAAAGCGUGGGGAGCAAACAGG
rnacentral:rRNA from 1 species